UGAUGCUCCCUGUGUGUCUGUGUGACGGAGAUUGGGCGGGUUCCCCUCUAGCGCUGGUUCUGGGCUCGGGGGACAGCGAAGAGCCGAGGGACAGCUAAGGUGUCUCCGGAGCCGGUGCCUCAGUGAUGAAGAGGAUUUUCGGCUUCGGGAGGAGGAAGAGCCAUCCGUCCCUGAGCUCCGGCAGGGCCGGCGGGUGGGGGUACCUCCUCCGGGACCAGGACCUUGGCAAGAUCCACAGGGCCGCCAGUCGCGGCAAAGUGGCCAAAGUGCAGCAGAUCCUGUUGCUCGGAAAAAAUGGCGUGAAUGACAAGGACAAAAAGAACAGGACCGCUCUGCAUCUGGCCUGUGCCAAUGGCCAUGCAGAAGUGGUAACUCUCCUGGUAGAGAGAAAGUGCCAGCUGAACCUCUAUGAAGGUGAACAUAGGACAGCUCUGAUGAAGGCUGUACAAUGCAAGGAAGAGGAAUGUGCAACCAUUCUGCUACAACAUGGUGCUGACCCAGAUAUUAUGGAUGCCAGUGGCAACACGGCUCUCCACUAUGCUGUCUGUGCUCAGCAUAUACCAAUAGCAGCCAAACUGCUUUCAUACAAUGCAAAUAUUGAGGCAAGAAACAAGGAUGACUUCACACCACUUUUAUUUGCUGUACAUGAAAACAAACAGCAAAUGGUGGAAUUUUUAGUAAAGAAAGAAGCAAAUAUACAUGCAGUUGAUAAGGCAAAAAGCCUUUUAGAGACUCCCCCAUUUUGAUCCUGCCAAGCAGUUUCAUUGCCUUCAGAAUAUGAGAGCUAAAUCAAGAAGACAGAACAUCCUCACCUCGUUCAACCACAGCUGGGGAUGUGCACACUGGGGAACUCAAUUUUUUUACCGUUCUGUUCAUGUCCACAAAUGACCACCAGGGAUCACAGAGGUGUUAUGGAAUCUGCACAAUGAGAAUUAUUAAAACCAAUGGCGAUCAACUAUACAUGCUUUUCCUUAAUUGCUACGAAAGUGACGGUAGGGCAAGAGCAUGUACUUUUUAAGGUAAGCUGGGGUAUGGGAAAGUUCUCUGAGCGCUUGCAUUUGGAAAUACUAGAACCUUCAUUUGUUCCACUUCAACCCUCGAUAUUUUAUUUCUGACCCCUUUAGAUACUACUUCUGCUGACCAAACAGUGGAGGACAGCCAACAAAUACAAAAAUUAUCAACAGAGACAAACACCAACCACAGCCUUUCAUAUAUCAGUUAACUCAAGAGGCAAAAGCAGCUCACAAUAAAAUUUUCCAAUGAACCUGAACUGAAAUGGAGCAUGAUCUGUGAGGCACUGCUGGUUCCGCAGGGGGACAGACAUGUUCUUUUCCAAGGGGAAGAAUGCUAACCAUAUCCUGUUCUCCUCUCUACCACUGCAGCUUUCUGGAGAGCUUAUUUCCCCACAGAAGCCAAAAAGAAAAAUCAAAUAAAGAAAUCAUUGCAAGGAAGCUGCCCAGAUCUAAAGAAAUGUUGAAGGGGAAAUUUGGUGUUGUUUCUGAGGAUAAUGUAACCGAUAUAAUUUUCCACCUUAAAGAAGGCUGGGUAGGCAGCCCUUUAAGUUAUGUCCUUUGUAAAUUGGCUGGGUUUGUAGGGUGGGGAGAGCAAUGGGAAAACAGUUGAAGGAUCACCGUGAGUUUACAAAAGGCCAUCAACUGGGAGGUUACUGGAUAGCCUGGGGGAGCCUGGCCUCUAGGAGCUGAACCCCAAAGCAUACGAGAGCAAAGAAAAGUACUUAAUCUCUCAAGGGGGGCCUGAAAGGCCAACUUCAGUAUCUGCCGCAAGAAUAUACAACGGUUGCAUGCACUGCAGAUUUCUGCAGAUUCCAAGCAUCUGAGUCAGCCAUAAGAACAAGACUGCAAAUUCAAGUUUCAGGUAUACAGUCAACAGUCCUUAAAACAUACAACAACACUUUAGAUUACAGGUUGGCUCCAUUUGUUCCCUUACACUUGUUAGACAUAAAAUUAUGGAACUGGUACCGAAAAACUGAACGAGAUGCCAUUAUUGAUGGAGAUCACGAUUCAAAGGACACUCGUUGGGGAAGUAUGGUGGCAUGAAAGCAUUUUGAUCCAAUGGGGGAAGGCAUUCCGGGCCCCUGUGAAACCUGGAGCUACCCCCGGAAGGAGGAGCCCUGGCAGCGCAAAGGGGCGUGAGUGGCCCAGUACCACACUGAGUACCUGAGCCAUGAGGUCCCCAGAAGCAGAAGGAGAAGAGAGCAGGAGGAAAGGGGAGCAGAAAGCAAAGCACGCCCGCAUGUUUCGGCACCACUGAGCUCUGCAGAGCAGAGACCACACUCAUUCCAUCGAUUCCCGCCACGGCUGCAGGAAGGAUGAGGCACGCGGGAAGGUGAGUUGACUCACUGUUUGGCGGGUGCCAGCGCACGGCAUUCAGGUAGGAGUUGCAGUAAUGGAAGAGGAACUCGUGCUCCAAGCGUUGGCUUCUCCCUCGAAGCAGGAGCAUCAUGUCGUGUCCAUCAAUGACCCUGUGGGACAGAGCAGUGGGGUCAGGUGGGGGACAGCCACGCCAUCCUCAGGCGGAAAUGCCCCGACGUCAAAUUGUCCUUCCUUAGCAAACAAGGGAUGCUAGGUCCACAGCCAGAAUGAAGUAACUAAUACAAAGGAUACCACCAACCCCCAUGGGAGAGCCCAGCUCUGGCCAUCUGGUAACCCAAUUAAUUUCUUAACAGCACAUUGUUUGGAGAUAUUAGCAUCCCCAGCAUAGAGGGGAGGAAACUGAGGCACUGAAAUUCUAAGUCAUGUAUCUCAGAUCUAUGACUAGUAAGACACAGAGCUGUUGGUCAUCCAGCUCUCCAUUGCUCCACGUACUGCCUCUCCUAACCACAAUUUUCUACCCAUAGCCUUGUCAAGGCGCAAGCUCUAUUCACAAAUGAUGGGUCUGUUGAAAAUAUAAGAAUACCUGAUAAUUGGGUUCAAAAAUAUAAUACAUAGCAUAAGGCAACUUGAAUCAGACAGACAUUAAUGAAUUUCCAAAUCAGAAUGAAUUAAUUUAUAAAUAAUGAUAAUAUUUUUUUAAAAACCUAUAGUUGGGUUGUUGACAAAUGAAAACAUAUCUCCUCUACCACUGGGCUUCUAGCCAUGCCAAGAAGGAGAACUCUGCAGAUUGCAAACAAUUCAUAUAUAAAGUUGCUUGUGAGCAAAAUAAGAUUAAAGAAAUCUAAAAGUUUAAACAAAGGAAAAAGCCUAAUAUUUUGUUUUGAGUUAAAUUUAACAGCUCCUUUAGAAAUCGAAGCCAUUGAUACUACAGGGUUCUGUAACCAAAAAAAAAGGGACAAAGAUCUACUCUGAAAGAGUUCCACGUGUUGAUUUUCUUUCUCUGACUAAAAACACAACAUCCCUGCCAUCCUCUGUUAAAAGGCAUUUAGAAACUGGAAGUUGAACAUGGCUAUAUAAUUUGAGUAAGUGUGUUUGAGAGGUUCUGAGUCCCUUGAGCUUUUUGUGGUUUACUUGGUGUCACUAAAACCCCAUACUGUAAUUAUAGCCUUGUGGCUCAGCACUUCCCCAAUCUCAACCCUUGUUAUUACACAGUAGCCUAUGGACAGAAAUAUUCCAUUAUCAUAAGUUAAAAAUAAGAACAAAAGGCACACUUGGCUCAUGUCCCCAAGCUUCCCCUCCCAUUAACCAUGAGCAGGAUGAAAGGAAACACGGCUGAGACAGUUCUAUCCAGAAACAGUGUGUUCUCUGAAAUACCGUUUCUAUCCCAGAAUGGCAGGUAUUGUGUUUCGCUCUUUUCAAAUUCCUUUCAAGAAAGAAUCAGACCUUAAUAACAUGACAUUUUGAAUAGAGCUGAAAGAAGGGAAGGGAUGGGAAGGAAAGCAUGAACGUGUGGGUAUCAGAUCAUGGGAUGCCCCCAAUGGUGAAAAUAUCCCUCAAGGUGAGGAAACAGCGAACGGAGAGCUCCUAUUCAUGUCCUCUACCUCCAGGAUGCAGAGAGAAGGCCUUUCCAUGAUCACCCAGGCCAAGAUGGAAUGGCUGUUAGAAACCAUCUCUCUUUCUAUUCUUGAAGCUGUUUUCAUCACAGGCCAACAAAACUUAACAUUUGACUUAAGAACAUGGCAGGUGAACUUGCUCUUUGAACAUGAGUGCUUGAUAACUGAAAUUGGUCAUGGAAUUACAGAGAAAAAUUUAUUUAAAAUAAUAAUAAUAAGACUCCAAGUCUGAAUUAAAGUUUGCUUACUUUAAAGCAAAAUAUUUGAAUACUU